rnacentral:rRNA from 1 species
GCUGUGAAGAUGCAGUGUACCCGCGGCAAGACGGAAAGACCCCGUGAACCUUUACUAUAGCUUGACACUGAACAUUGAGCCUUGAUGUGUAGGAUAGGUGGGAGGCUUUGAAGUGUGGACGCCAGUCUGCAUGGAGCCGACCUUGAAAUACCACCCUUUAAUGUUUGAUGUUCUAACGUGGACCCGUGAUCCGGGUUGCGGACAGUGUCUGGUGGGUAGUUUGACUGGGGCGGUCUCCUCCUAAAGAGUAACGGAGGAGCACGAAGGUUGGCUAAUCCUGGUCGGACAUCAGGAGGUUAGUGCAAUGGCAUAAGCCAGCUUGACUGCGAGCGUGACGGCGCGAGCAGGUGCGAAAGCAGGUCAUAGUGAUCCGGUGGUUCUGAAUGGAAGGGCCAUCGCUCAACGGAUAAAAGGUACUCCGGGGAUAACAGGCUGAUACCGCCCAAGAGUUCAUAUCGACGGCGGUGUUUGGCACCUCGAUGUCGGCUCAUCACAUCCUGGGGCUGAAGUAGGUCCCAAGGGUAUGGCUGUUCGCCAUUUAAAGUGGUACGCGAGCUGGGUUUAGAACGUCGUGAGACAGUUCGGUCCCUAUCUGCCGUGGGCGCUGGAGAACUGAGGGGGGCUGCUCCUAGUACGAGAGGACCGGAGUGGACGCAUCACUGGUGUUCGGGUUGUCAUGCCAAUGGCACUGCCCGGUAGCUAAAUGCGGAAGAGAUAAGUGCUGAAAGCAUCUAAGCACGAAACUUGCCCCGAGAUGAGUUCUCCCUGACCCUUUAAGGGUCCUGAAGGAACGUUGAAGACGACGACGUUGAUAGGCCGGGUGUGUAAGCGCAGCGAUGCGUUGAGCUAACCGGUACUAAUGAACCGUGAGGCUUAACCUUACAACGCCGAAGGUGUUU